CAUAAGGNCUUCCGCAUGGANGAAANUCUNACGGAGCACGCCGCGUGAGUGAUGAAGGUUUUCGGAUCGUAAAGCUCUGUUGUUAGGGAAGAACAAGUACCGUUCGAAUAGGGCGGUACCUUGACGGUACCUAACCAGAAAGCCACGGCUAACUACGUGCCAGCAGCCGCGGUAAUNCGUAGGUGGCAAGCGUUGUCCGGAAUUAUUGGGCGUAAAGGGCUCGCAGGCGGUUUCUUAAGUCUGAUGUGAAAGCCCCCGGCUCAACCGGGGAGGGUCAUUGGAAACUGGGGAACUUGAGUGCAGAAGAGGAGAGUGGAAUUCCACGUGUAGCGGUGAAAUGCGUANAGAUGUGGAGGAACACCAGUGGCGAAGGCGACUCUCUGGUCUGUAACUGACGCUGAGGAGCGAAAGCGUGGGGAGCGAACAGGAUUAGAUACCCUGGUAGUCCACGCCGUAAACGAUGAGUGCUAAGUGUUAGGGGGUUUCCGCCCCUUAGUGCUGCAGCUAACGCAUUAAGCACUCCGCCUGGGGAGUACGGUCGCAAGACUGAAACUCAAAGGAAUUGACGGGGGCCCGCACAAGCGGUGGAGCAUGUGGUUUAAUUCGAAGCAACGCGAAGAACCUUACCAGGUCUUGACAUCCUCUGACAAUCCUAGAGAUAGGACGUCCCCCUUCGGGGGCAGANUGACAGGUGGUGCAUGGUUGUCCUUCANCUCNUGUCGUGAAAUGUUGGGUUUAAUUCCCCCNACGAGCGCAACCCNUUGAUCUUA
rnacentral:rRNA from 1 species